AUUGAACGCUGGCGGCAGGCUUAACACAUGCAAGUCGAGCGAGCGGCGGACGGGUGAGUAAUGUCUGGGCAACUGCCUGGUGGAGGGGGAUAACUACUGGAAACGGUAGCUAAUACCGCAUUCCAUCAGCUGUGCCCAGAUGGGAUGAGCUAGUAGGUGGGGUAAUGGCUCACCUCGGCGACGAUCCCUAGCUGGUCUGAGAGGAUGACCAGCAACACGGGAACGGAGAAAGGUUCCAGACUCCUACGGGAGGCAGCGGUGGGGAAUAUGGCACAAGGGGCGAAAGCCUGAUGCAGCCAUGCCGGGUGUGUGAAGAAGGCCUACGGGUGGUAAAGCACUUUCAGCGAGGAGGCGUUACUCGCAGAAGAAGCACCGGCUAACUCCGUGCCAGCAGCCGCGGUAAUAC
rnacentral:rRNA from 1 species